AACGCACAUUGCGCCCGCUGGUAUUCCGGCGGGCAUGCCUGUUCGAGCGUCAUUUCAACCCUCAAGCCCCCGGGUUUGGUGUUGGGGAUCGGCUCUGCCCUCCUGGGCGGUGCCGCCCCCGAAAUACAUUGGCGGUCUCGCUGCAGCCUCCAUUGCGUAGUAGCUAACACCUCGCAACUGGAACGCGGCGCGGCCAUGCCGUAAAACCCCAACUUCUGAAUGUUGACCUCGGAUCAGGUAGGAAUACCCGCUGAACUUAA
rnacentral:misc_RNA from 2 species